rnacentral:rRNA from 1 species
ACGGACCAAGGAGUUCAGCGUGCACGCGAGUCAUUGGGUGGUAAAACCCAAAGGCGUAAUGAAAGUGAAGGGAACUUUACGUUUCUGAGGGAGGAUGAGUCGGUUACCCGCAAGGGGCUGCUCCGCACUCCCGGGGCGUCUCUUUCUCAUUGCGAGUGGAGGCGCACCCAGAGCGUACACGCUGAUACCCGAAAGAUGGUGAACUAUGCCUGGCCAGGACGAAGCCAGGGGAAACCCUGGUGGAGGUCCGCAGCGAUUCUGACGUGCAAAUCGAUCGUCGGAGCUGGGUAUAGGGGCGAAAGACCAAUCGAACCAUCUAGUAGCUGGUUCCCUCCGAAGUUUCCCUCAGGAUAGCUUGCGCUCAUGUGAACGAGUCUCAUCCGGUAGAGCGAAUGAUUAGAGGCCUUGGGGUCGAAACGACCUCAACCUAUUCUCAAACUCCAAAUAGAUGAGAACUCCGGCUUUUCUUGAACAAUGUUUUUGAAGCCGGGGGGCUUGGAUCAGAGUGCCAAGUGGGCCAAUUUUGGUAAGCAGAACUGGCGCUGUGGGAUGAACCAAACGUCGAGUUAAGGCGCCUAAAUCGACGCUCAUGUGAAACCAUGAAAGGCGUUGGUUGCUUAAGACAGCAGGACGGUGGCCAUGGAAGUCGGAAUCCGCUAAGGAGUGUGUAACAACUCACCUGCCGAAGCAACUAGCCCUGAAAAUGGAUGGCGCUGUAGCGUCGUGCCUAUACUCGACCGUCAACGGCAAAGAUUGGCUGACGGGCAACCGUCGGCCGUUACGCCUUGACGAGUAGGAGGGCCGCGGCGGCGUGCGUAGAAGGGUCUGGGCGCGAGCCUGCCUGGAGCCGCCGUCGGUGCAGAUCUUGGUGGUAGUAGCAAAUACUCCAGCGAGGCCCUGGAGGACUGAUGUGGAGAAGGGUUUCUUGUGAACAGCUGUUGCACAAGAGUCAGUCGGUCCUAAGCCCUAGGAGAAAUCCGAAGCGAUGGGUUGCCGUGAACUUACACUCGUGUAUGUGUGCUGGCACCCGUUUGGGCGAAAGGGAAUCCGGUUCCUAUUCCGGAACCUGGCAGUGGAACCGUUCCAAUUCGGGCCCUCUGAGGACUCGUCAGGGCAACCUGAAUAGACCCGGAGACGCCGACAGGAGGUUGGGGGAGAGUUGUCUCUUCUCUAUAAGCGAUCGAGUUCCCUGGAAACUUCUAGCAAGGAGAUAGGGUUUGGAUCGCGAAGAGCACUGCAGUUACGGCAGUGUCCCAAUCUUCCUCUCGGACCUUGAAAAUCCGGGUGAGGGCCACGAGGAACCCCACGCCAGACCGUACCCAUAUCCGCAGCAGGUCUCCAAGGUGCAAAGCCUCUAGUCGAUAGAUAAU